AGGAAGGGUCCUGGGUUGUAAACCUCUUUUUUCAGGGAAGAACACAAUGACGGUACCUGAGGAAUAAGCAUCGGCUAACUCCGUGCCAGCAGCCGCGGUAAUACGGAGGAUGCAAGCGUUAUCCGGAAUGAUUGGGCGUAAAGCGUCCGCAGGUGGCAAUGUAAGUCUGCUGUCAAAGAGUCUGGCUCAACCAGAUAAAGGCAGUGGAAACUACCAAGCUAGAGUACGUUAGGGGCAGAGGGAAUUCCCGGUGUAGCGGUGAAAUGCGUAGAGAUCAGGAAGAACACCAGUGGCGAAAGCGCUCUGCUAGGCCGUAACUGACACUGAGGGACGAAAGCUAGGGGAGCGAAUGGGAUUAGAUA
rnacentral:rRNA from 1 species